rnacentral:rRNA from 1 species
AACACAUGCAAGUCGAGGGGCAUCAGGAACAUUGCUUGCUUUCUUUGCCGGCGACCGGCGCACGGGUGAGUAACACGUAUCCAACCUGCCCUUUACUCGGGGAUAGCCUUUCGAAAGAAAGAUUAAUACCCGAUAGUAUAAUGAUUCCGCAUGGUUUCAUUAUUAAAGGAUUCCGGUAAAGGAUGGGGAUGCGUUCCAUUAGGUUGUUGGUGAGGUAACGGCCCACCAAGCCUUCGAUGGAUAGGGGUUCUGAGAGGAAGGUCCCCCACAUUGGAACUGAGACACGGUCCAAACUCCUACGGGAGGCAGCAGUGAGGAAUAUUGGUCAAUGGGCGCUAGCCUGAACCAGCCAAGUAGCGUGAAGGAUGAAGGCUCUAUGGGUCGUAAACUUCUUUUAUAUAAGAAUAAAGUGCAGUAUGUAUACUGUUUUGUAUGUAUUAUAUGAAUAAGGAUCGGCUAACUCCGUGCCAGCAGCCGCGGUAAUACGGAGGAUCCGAGCGUUAUCCGGAUUUAUUGGGUUUAAAGGGAGCGUAGGUGGACUGGUAAGUCAGUUGUGAAAGUUUGCGGCUCAACCGUAAAAUUGCAGUUGAUACUGUCAGUCUUGAGUACAGUAGAGGUGGGCGGAAUUCGUGGUGUAGCGGUGAAAUGCUUAGAUAUCACGAAGAACUCCGAUUGCGAAGGCAGCUCACUGGACUGCAACUGACACUGAUGCUCGAAAGUGUGGGUAUCAAACAGGAUUAGAUACCCUGGUAGUCCACACAGUAAACGAUGAAUACUCGCUGUUUGCGAUAUACAGUAAGCGGCCAAGCGAAAGCAUUAAGUAUUCCACCUGGGGAGUACGCCGGCAACGGUGAAACUCAAAGGAAUUGACGGGGGCCCGCACAAGCGGAGGAACAUGUGGUUUAAUUCGAUGAUACGCGAGGAACCUUACCCGGGCUUAAAUUGCAGUGGAAUGAUGUGGAAACAUGUCAGUGAGCAAUCACCGCUGUGAAGGUGCUGCAUGGUUGUCGUCAGCUCGUGCCGUGAGGUGUCGGCUUAGGUGCCAUAACGAGCGCAACCCUUAUCUUCAGUUACUAACAGGUCAUGCUGAGGACUCUGGAGAGACUGCCGUCGUAAGAUGUGAGGAAGGUGGGGAUGACGUCAAAUCAGCACGGCCCUUACGUCCGGGGCUACACACGUGUUACAAUGGGGGGUACAGAAGGCAGCUAGCGGGUGACCGUAUGCUAAUCCCAAAAGCCUCUCUCAGUUCGGAUCGAAGUCUGCAACCCGACUUCGUGAAGCUGGAUUCGCUAGUAAUCGCGCAUCAGCCACGGCGCGGUGAAUACGUUCCCGGGCCUUGUACACACCGCCCGUCAAGCCAUGGGAGCCGGGGGUACCUGAAGUACGUAACCGCAAGGAUCGUCCUAGGGUAAAACUGGUGACUGGGGCUAA